CAGGGUUCUGGGGUUGUGGGGGGAACCGGCCGGGAAGGGUCAUUACCGAGUUUACAACUCCCAAACCCCUGUGAACAUACCUAUACGUUGCCUCGGCGGAUCAGCCCGCGCCCUGUAAAACGGGACGGCCCGCCCGAGGACCCUAAACUCUGUUUUUAGUGGAACUUCUGAGUAAAACAAACAAAUAAAUCAAAACUUUCAACAACGGAUCUCUUGGUUCUGGCAUCGAUGAAGAACGCAGCAAAAUGCGAUAAGUAAUGUGAAUUGCAGAAUUCAGUGAAUCAUCGAAUCUUUGAACGCACAUUGCGCCCGCCAGUAUUCUGGCGGGCAUGCCUGUUCGAGCGUCAUUUCAACCCUCAAGCUCAGCUUGGUGUUGGGACUCGCGGUAACCCGCGUUCCCCAAAUCGAUUGGCGGUCACGUCGAGCUUCCAUAGCGUAGUAAUCAUACACCUCGUUACUGGUAAUCGUCGCGGCCACGCCGUAAAACCCCAACUUCUGAAUGUUGACCUCGGAUCAGGUAGGAAUACCCGCUGACUUAAGCAUAUCAAAAGGGAAAGGAAGAAGGCCUUUCUUCUGGGGCCUUCCCAAAAUAAAUUCAUUCCUUAAUUUGAUCUGAAUCAGCGGGAUUACCCGCUGAACUUAAGCAUAUCAUAGGCGGGAGGAAG
rnacentral:rRNA from 1 species